GGGCCCGCACAAGCGGUGGAGCAUGUGGUUUAAUUCGAUGAUACGCGAGGAACCUUACCUGGGCUUAAAUGUAGAGUGACAGCUGUAGAAAUACGGUUUUCUUCGGACACUUUACAAGGUGCUGCAUGGUUGUCGUCAGCUCGUGCCGUGAGGUGUCGGGUUAAGUCCCAUAACGAGCGCAACCCCUAUUGUUAGUUGCUAACGAGUAAUGUCGAGGACUCUAGCAAAAACUGCCCGCGCAAGCGGUGAGGAAAGGUGGGGGAUGACGUCAAAUCAUCACGGCCCUUACGUCCAGGGCUACACACGUGCUACAAUGGUAGAGACAGAGGGCAGCCACCCCGGCGACGGA
rnacentral:rRNA from 1 species